rnacentral:rRNA from 1 species
AGAGUUUGAUUAUGGCUCAGGACGAACGCUGGCGGCGUGCCUAACACAUGCAAGUUGAGCGGAGAUAUAUGGAGCUUGCUUUAUAUAACUUAGCAGCGAACGGGUGAGUAACACGUAGAUAAUCUAUCCUAUACUGGGGGAUAGCCCGAUGAAAGUUGGAUUAAUACCGCAUAUAGCUAUAUAGUUGCAUGAUUAUGUAGUGAAAGAUUUAUUGGUAUAGGAGGAGUCUGCGGCACAUUAGCUAGUAGGUGAGGUAAAGGCUUACCUAGGCGACGAUGUGUAGCCGGUCUGAGAGGAUGAACGGCCACAAUGGAACUGAGACACGGUCCAUACUCCUACGGGAGGCAGCAGUGGGGAAUAUUGCACAAUGGGGGAAACCCUGAUGCAGCAACGCCGCGUGAGUGAAGAAGGUUUUCGGAUUGUAAAGCUCUGUUAGCAGGGAAGAGGAAGGACGGUACCUGCAGAGGAAGCCACGGCUAACUACGUGCCAGCAGCCGCGGUAAUACGUAGGUGGCAAGCGUUGUUCGGAAUAACUGGGCGUAAAGGAUGCGUAGGCGGUUAAACAAGUUAUAUGUUAAAUAUAUAGGCUUAACCUGUAGAAAGCAUAUAAAACUGUUUAACUAGAGUG